UCAAGCCGGGCGGAGCGGCCGCGGCCAAGGCACAGUUCCGCCCUAUUUCCAUAUCAUCCUCCAAUAGAAACACGAGUUGCUUCUGAUUGACUCCGCCCAUAACCAACAGCGGUCGAGGAGGCGCCUCUAGGAAGAGGCUGUUCUGCAGCUGAACACACAGAGAUCUAGUUCUCUUUUGUUACCUGUGGGCAUGUUUCCAUGCGGGCUCAGAUCUAGUCAGAUCUUCCAUCAAGUAUUGGCUAGGCUCAGCCUCGGAUUACAAAAUCCAAUGAGAUCACAGGAAGCAGCAGGCAGAUCCUUCCCCAAGGCUGUGGAAAACAUUGCCAGUGAAACAGCGGCAAAAGCAAGGAGUCAGGAGAGGAGAGAUACAGGGAAGAGACAGUGAUUGAAGAUAUGUUGCUCCGAGCAGCAGGAGGUGCUUUGCUGUAGGAACCCUGAGUCACUCUUAGCCUCCUGCAGAGAAUAUUUCACCCAUGUUUGUCAUCGUCUUCCUGGAAGCACUCACCCUACACCCAAGUUACAAUGUUGCUGCAGGACAGAUUGCCCAGCCAGGAAAUUAUUUGAUUUGUAAUAGCCCCAUUCAGCACAACGGGACUCAAAGUACUGUACAAAUAUAUUCUAGCGGCCACUGAUCAUGCUUAUAAUAGUUAAGGUUGCCAAGUAGUUUGCAUUAUAUCCCACACACAUAUCUUGUUUUCAGAGGAUUAUAACUUUCCAAAACAUUUAUUUUUAUGGGCUGAAAUUUGCUAUGCUUGGUUUCUCCUCACAGGUGAAUAUUGCUGGAAAGUUUGGGCCAAAACUAUUCAGUCAUUUCUGAGUUAUGGCAGGGUGAAAAAAAGCCAUUUUUGCACAACUAUAUAAAAAAAAAAUGUUGGACUGUUGCAACUGUUUCUUUUCCAGCAUCACUCAACACUGGCUAAACUUUGAAAGAUUGAACUUGGCAUAAGCAGCAGCCCUAAUGAGCAGAAAGGGCUCUGGCAAUUUGCUUAAAAAUUCAGAUAAACGAAACAACACACUUAUAUAAACAUUAGAAAACACGCUCCAGCAUGUGCGCUGUAUAAACUCCAUGAACAGUGACUCUGCCCCGUUAGCCAGGACUUUGGAGCCAGUUAUCUGUGCAGGGUCAUGCACUCUGAACCAUGGUUAAAGCUGAUCAAGACCAGAGUGGGAGCUCACCCACUCUCUUGUCAGCACAGGUCUGGGUGUUAAGUGGUAAAGCAGCAGUGCCCUGCCCUGCAGUAGGGGAAAGAGAACAAAUGUAGCCAAAAGAAGUUCCUGCCUCUCCCCCAAGGCCCCAUCAGGCUGCCUGUGCUCCUUGUGCAGAACUGGUUUAGGAACAUCAGUAGUUUUCCAAUCUCUGUGUCCAGCAGGAUAGAGACUCUGUGUUGAUAUAAUACAAACAAGUCUAGGAAGUCUGGGGGCAUCGUCCCUGGAAAGUGCUGAUGCAUUUUAGACAAUGUUAAGUUGAUUUUAAAAAAAGGUUUUAUGCAAAAACCUUGUUUGGUGUAUUCCUUCUCUGUCCUUCUCCCUGGGGGAGACGGAGCUGGUGUAGGGGAGGGGAGUAGGGUUCUCCUACAGGAGCUGGCCGGAGAUGGAUCUUCCCACAAGAAAGGAGGCAAAUAGGACAGGGUCACCUCUUCUUUUCCCAUCAACUGCAGCUGCUCUACCCACUGGUAGAAAUGGCUGUGAGCUUCCCCAUAGUCACCAAUGUUUAAAAAAGGGCUCCAGGGACACUCCUCCAUAAAAGCAGAGGGCUAUGAGCUGCCAGAGGGUUGUGGGCAGAGCCUAAUGCAUUUUAAUUUAGUUUUAUGACAAAUAUCUUAAUCAUCAGGGACUCAGAAGGUUUGGCUCAGUAGUUAGAAAUUGACAUGUUCAUCUGAAGCUGUAGGAGCAGCACCACAAUCCCCUGUGACAAGUUCCCAAACUCCCUCCUAACUGAAGCUAGGAAGCAGCUGCCUAGUGGGCUGCUAGUGCUAUUCCCUUACUCCAGCGCCUCCAUGGAAGGACGGCAGGCCUGGCUCACUCCCCAGCAUCCUUAAAGGGCAUUUCUUCCCAAGAAUGAGGUGAGAUGGACGGAUGCAUGCGGCCUCACCCCUGCACUCUUGCUCUCUGGGGGGGGUGUGUGCGGGUGAGAAGCACAUUCUCAGACUUGUCUCCCCUCCUGGAGGCCUCACGUUUCCACCAUUCAUUUCCUCUAGCUCAGGGGUCUCCAACACGAUGCCCAUGGGUGCCAUGGCGCCCACCAGGGCAUCUAAAUGC